GGGGGGGGGGGGGGGGGGGGCGGAGGGAGGGGGGGGGGGGGAGGGCGGCGGGGGGGGUGGCGGGCGGGGGCGGAAGGCGGGGGAGCCGGCGCUUGGUGUGGGAAUAACGCCGCGAAAGGGGUGCUAAGGCGGGAGAAUGUCGUGGGACCAAAGAGUUAUCGCCGUUGGAUGGGCCCGGGUGGUGUUAGCUAGUUGGUAGGGUAAAAUCAUACCAAGGCGACGAUGCAUAGCUGGUCUGAGAGGAUGAUCAGCCACACUGGGACUGAGACACGGCCCAGACUCCUACGGGAGGCAGCAGUGGGGAAUAUUGGACAAUGGGCGAAAGCCUGAUCCAGCAAUGCCGCGUGAGUGAUGAAGGCCUUAGUGUUGUCAAGCUCUUUUACCCGGGAUGAUAAUGACAGUACCGGGAGAAUAAGCUCCGGCUAACUCCGUG
rnacentral:rRNA from 1 species